GUGACGCAACGCGCUCAGCUGUGCGGUAAACAGCGGCGGCGAGCGGCUGCGGACUGAUGUCGACCCCGUCGCGGGGACUGACGGACAGCUUCAGGAGGAGACAUGCCCGCUGCUGCUGCUCCUCACCCGCUCUCUGACACCCUCAUCUUCUUCACCUCCACCCUGCGGCACCGAUGAAGCCUCCCCUGUCGAACCCACAGCGGGCCGAAGGGCGGAUAGAGGAGAGAGAGGAUGUACUGGCGCGUCGGGUUCGCCUGGAGCCGCUCAUGCGCGCUUGAACUGGGCCGGAACAAGAGCUUCUCGCUCGGGUUGUGCGGCUCCGAGGAGCCCUUUUCGUUGUAUGGGUACAUCAUCGCCUACCCGCUGCAGGAGUACGGAGGGAUCAUGUCUGCGUUAGGAUCCGACUCCUGGUGGAGGAAAACGCUCUACAUCACCGGGGGCGCGCUGCUCGCCGCCGCUGCAUAUUUACUACACGAGCUGCUUGUCAUUAGGAAGGACCAGGAGUUGGACUCUGAGGACUCCAUCAUUCUGCAUCAGUUUGCCCGACCCAAAACUGGAGUCCCUAGCCUGUCCCCCUUCUGCCUGAAGAUAGAAACCUACCUGCGCAUGGCGGACCUUCCCUACCAGAACUAUUUCGAUGGGAAGUUGUCUCCUCAAGGGAAGAUGCCUUGGAUCGCGUAUAAUAAGGAGCAGGUGUGCGGGACGGAGUUCAUCAUCGACUUCCUGGAGGAGAAGCUUGGUGUGAACCUCAACUCCAGCCUGAGUCCUCAGGAGAAAGCCAUCUCACGUGCCAUCACCAAAAUGGUGGAGGAACACUUUUACUGGACGAUAGCAUACUGUCAAUGGGUGGACAAUGUGGAGGAGACGCAGAAGAUGUUAGCCACAAACGGGCCGCUGAGUGACAUGCUCAGGUGGAUCUUGAGUCAGGUGAACGGUGGCAUCGUGAAGAGAGAGAUGUACGGCCACGGGAUCGGACGCUUCUCCAAAGAGGAAGUUUACACUUUGAUGGAGACAGACAUGCGCACCCUUGCCACACUCCUUGGCAAUAAAAAGUAUCUAAUGGGCCCGAAGGUUUCCACAGUAGAUGCUGCUGUAUUUGGCCAUCUUGCUCAGGCCAUGUGGACUCUCCCUGGAACACGUCCGGAACAGUUAAUCAAAGGUGAGUUCAUCAAUCUGGCCAUGUACUGUGAGCGAAUCCGCCGGAAAUUCUGGCCGGAGUGGUUUGUGGAUGUUGAUGACCUUUACUACGACGGACUGAGCGAGGAGCCGGAUUCUCCUUCCCAGCUUCCGGAUUUGGGUCUCCACUCACGCAGCGACAGCUUCCAGGAGCACGACAGCACUCUGUCACACCACAACACGCCGUCGCCGGACAGUGACAUCACCGGACGCUCUCUGUUCGAUUCUGACAUGGACACAGAAUGCUCGGAAACGGAGCAGUUAAAGUGAUAACCACACUCCCUCUGUGAUGUAUCUGCACGGGCCCCGCCCCCUUUGUUCUCCUGCUAGCCCUUUAUCAGGGGAAGGGCUGAUCAAAUGAAGAUGUUAUCAUGGUGACAUGGCAACUCUGAGCGAGGGAUUGCAAUAAAGAAGAUGGGAAAAGAAUUCCUACAAUUUUUAUUUGACGAAAGAGGAUUCUAUUAAAAUGAGGAAAGGGCAGGCCAGGCCAGAGAGAAUCCAGGAAGAAAAAACAUCAAACUAAAUAAUAAGUGGAUUGAGUGAAAGUUUAAAGGAGUGAAUGAUGCUUCAGCGGAAUCACUCCUCCCACCGUGUGACAUUGCUCGGAAUCAUCAGAAUGACAUCAUCACAUGUGACCACUUCCCAUUUACAAUGUGUGUUUGUAGCUAUCAGAGAGAAAUAAGGAUGAUUGAAAUGUGUAGAUAAUUAUUACGUGAUAUGAUAAAUAUAUCACAAUAUUUCAUAGUCCAUCUAAAAUUAAUUUCCAGUUUUAUUCAGAAAAUGCAGAGGGAGUAAACUUAUGGAUGACACCAGAAAUCAGCUGAUGUUUUGUAUGUUCUCGAACCGUUGCAGCAAUCUUGCAAAGCAUUAGUGAAUAAUUCACCCAAAAAAGGAGAAUUAUGAAAUUUAGAUAUUCAAAAUGGAAACAUAUAGUGAGCAGGGUCAGUAAAAAAAAAAGGUUUAGUGUAGCUUUAUGUGAGGGACAGAUUAGAUAUUCCCCUUCAUUUGUUAGUGCAUAUUUAAAGUCAUCAUGAAAUCAAAUUUGACAAUUCUCUUUUCUUUUUUUCUGGAAUAUUUCAGUAUAUUGCUGAAUAGUUCACAUCAUUACUUUUUUUUUUCCAAUUCAUGUUCCCUUGUAAUCUUUUUUAUCAAAAUCACUUAUAUUUUAUUUUCUAUAUUUUCUUCAGAUAUAGCCUACUUCAAAAACAGAUGGGGGAAUCUAAUGGGGCAAUAUAGGGAAAAAGGGAAACGAAAGGGAAAACAGACGAUCACAACUUCUCAAUUGGAUUUAUGCACAGCUGCACUACUUCCUGAACUUCAGCCAGCUCCUUUGUUUCCUGUCUGCCAUUAUUGGACACACUGAU